UCAUACGAAUCCAUCAACCCGAUUCCCCUCUUUCGUGACCCGCACCUGUCAAUCCAUAACUCGGCAUCAGAACUCACCGACCCAAGCUCCAACCCAUCUAUUUCUUCUUCGUCACGUGCCUUUCCAUACGAAUUCAUACGAGGAAAAUUCGAGAACCCUCUAUAAACAUGCUUAGGUGUCUCCCUCUAACGGAUACCUCCGCGAAUCGUGGAUUACUUGUACGAAUUCAUAUGUAUUUGGAAAAUUUUUGUUGGUUCUUGGCGGAAGGAUCCAUUUUCCCCCCAAUUUCUAUUGUCUUUUCUUGGAGAAUCUGUGGAGGAUAAGGGGAAAGGAGUACAUUUGUUGGUGAAACCCUAAGCAGGAGGGAAAAAAUUUGAAUUGCAAAUCCAAAGAUAUCCUCUCUUUCAAUUCCCCCCAAAACCCCUAAUUUGGGUUCUAUAUAAAGACCCUUGGGGUCACUGCUUUGAGGGGUCUUUUAUCUUCUUUCAGGGAUUUUUUGGUUUGAAAGAGGGGGAAAAGAAGAAAUCUGGGGUCGGGAAAAAUUUUAGUUGGGAGAAAAGAGGAGAGGCACAAAAUUCUAAAAGCAAAGUAGUUUAUUUUUAGUAAAAAUUUUCUCUUUCGUUCUUCUUUCUGAAGUUGGUCGAUUAAUCAGAGGCCCUUAAGUUGAUAACGUGGAUUUCCAGUGGUGGCAGAUUCCAACAACUAGCUCGUUCUCCCGUUUUGCUGCCCCGAGAGAGCUUACGAUGAUGUAUGAUUAGUUAUACCAAGUCCAAACGGUCUAGUUGCAGAUUCUUAAUCCUUUUCCCUUUAUUUAUGGAUGCAUGUGAAUGUGUUACGUCUGAGUUCACCAUGAACUUUCGAUUGCAUUUUACUCAUCGAGUUAAUCUCUAGUGGAAGAACAAAUACUGAUCUUGUUGCAUACCAAAACCAAGGAGACGAAAGAAGAAGAAAUGGGUUAAAGUCCACAUUUGAAGCGGCCAAGAGACUUGAAAGUCUCGGUUUUUAUUUCAUUCAUUCAUUUAGUCAUUUAUUAUUGUUGUCUUUAUUUAUUUAGUUAUUUAUUUUUAUUCAUUCAUUUGGGCCUCGAAGUCAAAGUUGUAAAUUUAAUACAGGUGGAGCGAGACUCGAGCCAACGACUCAAAAACUAGAUUAGGACAGGUAAAAUGGGUCGAAGGCUCAAUUAGACUAGGAUAGGUUUUGUUGAUUUGGGCCAAUGGCCUAAAUCCCUUACUUCCUCCCCUCCCCCUGUUCUUUAUGUUUGUUUUUCUUAUGUACUUUGCGAACCUAGUUAAAUCCUUAGUUAAGUCGCUAAGAAACUAGUUUUGCAUAAACACCAAAAUAUUUUCAAAAUCGCUUUCUUUCCAAAAAAUCUAUUAAUUUUUGACAAAAUUAAUCUUUUCGAAGAUAAUCAAAAGACGAUUUUCAAACAUUUCGGAUAACCGCAAGUUAGCGGACGUUUUAGGUGCCUAACACCUUCCUAAAACGUUAAUAGGAAUCACUUACUUAGAAUCUCUUUCUUAAAUGAUUUUCCUGUUUUGGAUCGUUUAAAGUAUUUAUAAAGGUUUUUUAAUUUCUUUUCAAAAUUAAGUGGAGACUCUUCUCUUAAAUUUAAAAUUUCGUCAAAACACUUACCAUAUGAUAUGUUUAUGAGCUGUUUUAAAUUGCUCUUGUAGACACGUAAUUUCAUUCCUUCACAAAUUUUAGCGUUUACCCCAUUUACUACGUACCCUAUACGCGUAGUAAUUUUUCCUCAAGAAAAUAAAUAAUCACCUCAUCUUUUCACUCUUUUUUUUUUAUCCCAUUUAACAAACCUAACUAAUUUUGUCCUAUCUUUAUAAUUCCAACAACCCACCCAAUAAAAAAUGGACACCUAACCCCUACCCCUGCAAUUAAAAACUUACACCUCACCUACUACCACACCCCGCACCCACGUGACCCCACUCCCUCACAUUUCUUGACCACAAAGAAAUAAUAAGGAAAAAGAAAACUAAAAAUAAAAGGGAAAUUUCCUGGCAGCUUUCGGGGACUAGGAAAAACAAUAUAUACACACAGAAAGCUGCAAGGGAGGAGGAGGUAGGAGAGAGAGAUGCGAGAGGAAGAGGGAGAAGAGUGAGAGUUCACAAUUCAUCUUCUUCACGAGGGCUAUCAAUAGGGAAGAAGAGUGAUUCACGCCAUUUUCUUUUCUUUUCCACCAGUCCUUUUUUGUUUUCUUCUCCACGAGUGAGAGCUGAAAAACAAAAAGAGAUAGAUUGAGAGAGGUAGAGAGAGAGAUUCGAGAAGGCAGAGAGAGAUAGAGUGAUAAAGACCGAGCUGCGAGAGAGUGAUAUUGGGAGAGAGAGGAGAGAAAAGGGAUUGGGGAUGACCAUUCCAGCUUCUUGGCCAAAAAAUAGCAUUCUUUCACCGGAAAAUGUUUAAUUAUGGUCCGCACUGAUUUGAAUUGAUCAUUUUUUAGGCCGACUUUGGUUACUUCUCAUCUGGAAACAAUCAUACAGGUUUCUGGUUUGUUCCAGUUCGGAGCCUUGAUUUUGAUUUUGUUUUCAUUUGUUCUUCGUGGAGCCUUGCUCGAAAGCAAGUCUGAGUAAAUUGGAGUUCUAGAUCGAAGUUUUUGAUUUGGGUUCGUGAUUGUGGUUCGAUGUUGAGGUUCUAUUUGGACGCGGUUCUAUUCGAAAAGAUCAGUUAAUUGAAAUAGAACGUCAGAUUGAGGAAUGCCUCGAGGUCACUUGUAUUUACUCAUCGAGGAAUGCCCCGAAGUAUUUUAUAUGUGAAGGAUGUUCGUGAUCAAGGCCUGAGGCAUCGGGUAAAGCAUAGUUUAGGUCUAGCGUAGGUUAUUUCUGUAUUUUUAUUUCGGUUUGUAAUAAAUUGGACUGGAAGCUAAAUUUUGGAUUGUUUUGUUUUAUUUGCUUGCUUGAUUGUUUUGUUUGCUUUAUGUGGUUUAUGUAUUUUAUAAUGUCAAAUUAGCCGAUACGCUCCAUCAAGCGACCCUGGCAGAACCCACUGGAUCGAGGGGUGUCUAACACCUUUCCCUCAGUCAACAGAAUUCCUUAAUUGGUAUCUCUGUUCGUGGAUCAGUUUUUAGAGUCAAACCAUUUCGAAAAGGAUUUUCCAUAGGUGACUUCGCACACCGGAUUAUGCCAAGUGGAGAAUCUGAAUAAAAAAUGAAAAUAGUCCUUUUUCGAAAUAAAUUUUUAAUCUUUUCUCACUUAAUAGUAAAAACCCUUUCAAACCUUAAAAUGGAAUCUUUUGGAUGUUGAAAAAAAGGUGUGACAGCUCUGGAGACUCUGCUGCAAAAUUGUUCAGAAUUUGAGCUUAUUUUGGAGUCGUAUCGGCUUUGUUUGGAACUAUAGGUGUAUAAACAUUUUGCUUGUGUUUUUUGUUUUAUCAUUGUGGAAUGUUUUCAUGCUCUGUGUGUACAGUAUUUAUCCUAUGUGUUACCUCUUUUAUAUCUUGCAUCAUGUGUCUACCCCAAGCCUUUUUUCUGCAAUAAGUUCGUAGUACAUGUGUUGUACACGACCUUUAGUUGAGUCACCAUUGUUUUAGGGGGGGAGCCGUCGGUGUCAUGGAGUAGGUGGAAAGCAAAGCAGCCACUAUCAACCAUACGCUCCCCCGAACAGCCUUGUUAGUGAACCCCAACGUAGGUCAGCCUUUAGCUCAUGCUUAUGUGCAUCAUAUUGAGACUUAGCGGGACCCACAUGGCCCUUUGUAGGAGACUCACCUUUAAAGCAUCCCUACGUGCUAAAUGUUGUAUCUUUGAGGGUAACGUGGUCAUUUGACGGAUUGAUUUGGGGAAAACAUGUGUUAGAAGUAAGGUAUGUAGGCAAGAAAUGUUGAAAAAAAAAAUAGAAAAAGUGAGUAAAAAAGAAAGAAAAAAAAAAGUGCCGUAUUUUAUUUUAGAGUUCUUUAUGACUUUUGUUCUUCACAAUCCAAAAACUCAAAAAGAUUUUUUUUUUACCUUUUGCAUUUAUUUCCUCAAAGUACCGUAAAUUCAACAAAAAAAAAGAGGAUUUUGUUUACCUGUUCUACUUAUUUGUCAAAAACAAAAGUACAAAAAGAUUUUUCUUUUUCUUAAUAAGCAUUCAUAAUUUGAAAAUUUAAAGAAAAAAAAAGAGAUUUUUAUAUAGUAGUAGAUUUUAUAAAAGAAUAUUAAAAAAAAAAGGGUUGGUAGAAAUUUGUACAUACCAAAAAGAUUUUUUUUCAUAGUUGUUGGUGUCAGUCUUAGUUGAAGUGUCCAAUUAAAGAGCAAAAAAAAAAAAAAAAAAAAAAUUUAUUCAUUUGUCUUUGGUUGUGUCUCUUGAGUUAGGGUCAAUCUAUUAAUUGAUCGUUAAUUGUCCAAUCGGGAUGAACUACGCAUACCUGAUUCCCUUCCCUCAGGUUGGGAUACGUAGGCAACCCUCGAUGGGUCCAGUAAUGUUCGUUUUUGGCCUUUGUCUUAUCAUUAGACUAGGUCUUUCGGCUCGUAUUCUAGAGUUGUUAGCCAAGUAGACUGAUUUUGUUCAGUAGUACUGUUCGGCAAAUUUGAGUCAUGAGGUGGUCUCUCUCAUCGACAUAUGUCUGCGUCAAGAAUCCCAAGGGUUGGGAAUCAUCUGCUCCUAUCGAAUUUUUGAGAUUUUAUUACAGGAUGAAUUUGUCCACCAAGUCUAGAGUCCUGAUGGUUG